CAGACGUGCGAAGAAGAAGGAGAUGGCUCGUAAAAUACGACAUCCCAAGAAAAUAAAAAUGGAAAUGAAAUAAAGAAAAAUACACGGACAUCUCGAGAGGUGCUUCCAGAAAUGUGUAUUCAUACACGGACAUUCCGACUAA
rnacentral:sRNA from 1 species